GGCAGUUCUCGGGGCAUGCAUGUCAGAAUCGGGCUCCCUCUUCUCUGGUUCCAGGUACAUCACCCAAGAACCGCA
rfam:Myotis lucifugus cont2.25626, whole genome shotgun sequence.